rnacentral:lncRNA from 1 species
AGCAAGCGAGGGGGAAAGACCGGACCGCUCCGACCCACCCCCUCCCUACCCCCACCUCCCACCUUAAAGCACCUUAUACCACGGAAGGCUCUCAGCCUCUUCUUUCCUCUGCGAACGCGCUGAGCAGCGAUUGAAAACGUUUUGGUCCUCUGCAGGGGCGCAUUCUGGGGUCUCUGCGCAAGACCAGCUCUCAGCUCUCUCUCCUUUCCUCGGACUCUGGAGCGGGAGCGGGCCUUUCCCUCGGGUCGACCACGCCGUAGGGGACGCCGUGAAAAGAGCCGUCGCGCCCGCUGCCUCCUGCCCGCUGCGCAGAGGGCUCCGCCCGUAGAGGUCAACUUCCCUCACCCUUUUCUCUCUCCUGCUUGCCCUCCCUCCGCCCGGCCCAGGCGCUUCCAGCCCCAGACUGUGGCCACUGGCUGAGGAGUGCGAGUCGGCUGCGCUGCCCUGAGCCUAAUCCCUCUUCCGGGCCCAGACCCGAGGUCCGCGCUCCUGGGCAGUGGGGAAGCUUUAGUGAGCAGGCUUUUCUCUCCGCAGCAAACUUGUAGCCAGACCAGAUGGGCCGCCCAGCUCUCUCGGGACUAGGCAGGUGCGGAUGAGUUAAUUUUUCCGCAUUACAAAGAAAGAUGACCCAGCCCGCCCUUGGACUCUCUUUUCCCAAAAUCUCCCAACCAAACCCGCGGUAACGUUAUCAAAGGACACAGAGCCCAGGCAUAUCUGUGUGUUUAUCUUACAGGCACACACGCAUGGUUUUCUCUUUUAUAUGCUAGAUUUCAUCCCUGACAGCAGAAAAUGAUUGGCAAUGGUUAUGACGGAGAACAUGCAAUAGCGUGGUCCUUAAAAACCUGCCAUUCCUUACAAGUGCCUUAGAAAGGAUUCAGGGCGAACCAACUGGGUUAAUUGCAUUCAGUAAAAUAACACGAUUACAA